CAACCCUCGAACACCCCCACGGGGGAUUCGGUGUUGGGGACCGGCCUCCGCCCUCGCUGGCGGUCGCCGCCCCCGAAAUACAGUGGCGGUCCCGCCGCAGCCUCCUCUGCGCAGUAGUUUGCACACUCGCAUCGGAGAGCGGCGCGUCCAAGCCGUAAACCACCCAAACUUAUAAAA
rnacentral:misc_RNA from 1 species